rnacentral:rRNA from 1 species
GACGAACGCUGGCGGCGUGCCUAAUACAUGCAAGUCGAGCGGACCGAACAGGAGCUUGCUCUUGUUCGGUUAGCGGCGGACGGGUGAGUAACACGUGGGUAACCUGCCCGUAAGACCGGGAUAACUCCGGGAAACCGGAGCUAAUACCGGAUAACACCGAAGACCGCAUGGUCUUUGGUUGAAAGGCGGCUUCGGCUGCCACUUACGCAUGGGCCCGCGGCGCAUUAGCUAGUUGGUGAGGUAACGGCUCACCAAGGCGACGAUGCGUAGCCGGCCUGAGAGGGUGACCGGCCAAACUGGGACUGAGACACGGCCCAGACUCCUACGGGAGGCAGCAGUAGGGAAUCUUCCGCAAUGGACGAAAGUCUGACGGAGCGACGCCGCGUGAGCGAAGAAGGUCUUCGGAUCGUAAAGCUCUGUUGUUAGGGAAGAAGAAGCGUCGUUCGAACAGGGCGGCGCGGUGACGGUACCUAACGAGAAAGCCCCGGCUAACUACGUG